rnacentral:lncRNA from 10 species
GGCCAAUGCUGCUCCCCAAGCUGGGACCCUCAGAGCCACACCAUGGCGGCUUGGAAGGUGGCAGGGCUGCAGAAGAGGCUGUGGAGGAACUUGGAGCGUGACUCCAAAGGACGACAAGCAGAGGAACCCUGGGCAUGUCAAGCCUCCCCUGUGCCCCUUUACCACCCCGUACCAGGGCCCUGCUUCUCCUGCAGGCUCUGAAUAAGCCUCCAAGUUGCCGCCAGAUUGCCCAGCACCCAGAUGACUUUCCAGCAAAGAAACUUAAGGAUGCAUAGUCCUUCAGGAUGGAUUUCUGCCUUUGCCCCAUGAAAUCUCCCGAGAUACAGACCCCAGAGCAUGGACCUCUCUUAGAUCUGGUCAUACAGAGUGGAGGGGUUGCCUCAGCCCAGGAAGGAAGCAGAAGACCCAGGCAGAUGCAAGCAGGAAAGAAGGCUGAGCUCAGUGGCACAUGCCUGUAAUCCCAGCACUUUGGGAGGCUGAGGCAGGAGGAUCGCUUGAACCCAAGAGUUUGAGGCUGCUGUGAGCUGUGAUCACACCACUGCAUUCCAACCUGGGCAACAGAAGGAGACCCUUUCUAAAAAAUAAAAUAAAAUAAAAUAAAAUAAAA